CACGUAGGGCGCGAGCGUUGUCCGGAAUUAUUGGGCGUAAAGAGCUCGUAGGCGGCCUGUCGCGUCUGCUGUGAAAUCCCGGGGCUUAACCCCGGGCGUGCAGUGGAUACGGGCUGGCUGGAGGCAGGCAGGGGAGAACGGAAUUCCCGGUGUAGCGGUGAAAUGCGCAGAUAUCGGGAGGAACACCGGUGGCGAAGGCGGUUCUCUGGGCCUGUACUGACGCUGAGGAGCGAAAGCGUGGGGAGCGAACAGG
rnacentral:rRNA from 1 species